rnacentral:rRNA from 1 species
GCUUGGAAGCAGCCAUUCAUUUAAAGAGUGCGUAACAGCUCACUAGUCGAGCGGUUCGGCAUGGAUAAUAAUCGGGCAUAAACAUAUUACCGAAGCUAUGGACUUGUAAAAGUGGUAGGGGAGCAUUGUAGUGUCGUCGAAGGUAAAACGUGAGUUUUGCUGGAGAAGCUACAAAAGAAAAUGUAGGCAUAAGUAACGAUAAUGCGGGCGAGAAACCCGCACACCGAAAGACUAAGGUUUCCUCAGCUAUGCUAAUCAGCUGAGGGUUAGUCGGGACCUAACGCGAACCCGAAAGGGGUAGUGGAUGGACAACAGGUUAAUAUUCCUGUACCUGCUCUCAUUAAAAGUGACGGAUUGACCAGAUAUCUACGUGGUGACGGAAGUCCACGUUGAGCAUAGCCUUCGGGCGAAGCGAUGAUAAGUAAUCAGUUCCAAGAAAAGCGAGAGAAGCAGCCCGUACCGUAAACCGACACAGGUAGUUGGGAUGAGAAUUCUAAGGUGCUCGAGAGAUUCAUGGCUAAGGAACUAGGCAAAAUCGACCCGUAACUUCGGGAGAAGGGUCGCCCAUCUUCGGAUGGGCCGCAGUGAAAAGGUCCAGGCGACUGUUUAUCAAAAACACAGGGCUAUGCUAAAUCGAAAGAUGAUGUAUAUGGCCUGACACCUGCCCGGUGCUGGAAGGUUAAGUGGAGGGUUUAGCUUCGGCGAAGAUCUGAAAUGAAGCCCCAGUAAACGGCGGCCGUAACUAUAACGGUCCUAAGGUAGCGAAAUUCCUUGUCGGGUAAGUUCCGACCUGCACGAAUGGUGCAACGAUCUGGACACUGUCUCAACCAUGAGCUCGGUGAAAUUGUAGUAUCGGUGAAGAUGCCGAUUACCCGCAGUGGGACGAAAAGACCCCGUGAACCUUUACUAUAGCUUAGUAUUGGCUUUGGAUAAGUAAUGUGUAGGAUAGUUGGGAGACUUUGAAGCGGCAUCGCCAGGUGUUGUGGAGUCAUUGUUGAAAUACCAACCUUUGCUUAUCUAGAGUCUAACCUCUUACAAGGGACAGUGCUUGGUGGGUAGUUUGACUGGGGUGGUCGCCUCCAAAAGAGUAACGGAGGCUUC